rnacentral:rRNA from 1 species
UUGACGAUGUCGGAUAUUGGGCGUAAGGGCGCGUAGGCGGCUUUGCAAGUCAGAUGUGAAAGCCCCGGGCUUAACUCGGGAAUUGCAUCUGAAACUGCUUAGCUUGAGUCCUGGAGGGGGUAGUGGAAUUCCCAGUGUAGCGGUGAAAUGCGUAGAUAUUGGGAGGAACACCUGCGGCGAAGGCGGCUACCUGGACAGUGACUGACGCUGAGGCGCGAAAGCUAGGGGAGCGAACGGGAUUAGAUACCCCGGUAGUCCUAGCCGUAAACGAUGGGCACUUGGUGUUGGGGGUAUUGAGUCCCCCGGUGCCGGAGUUAACACGUUAAGUGCCCCGCCUGGGGAGUACGGUCGCAAGACUGAAACUCAAAGGAAUUGACGGGGGCCCGCACAAGCGGUGGAGCAUGUGGUUCAAUUCGGCGCAACGCGAAGAACCUUACCGGGGCUCGAACGGUAACUGCAAUUCCUGGAAACAGGAAGUUCUCUUCGGAGACGGUUAUCGAGGUGCUGCAUGGCUGUCGUCAGCUCGUGUCGUGAGAUGUUGGGUUAAGUCCCGCAACGAGCGCAACCCUUGCCCUUAGUUGCCAUCAGGUUAUGCUGGGAACCCUAAGGGAACUGUCGGCGAAAAGCCGGAGGAAGGUGGGGAUGACAUCAAGUCCUCAUGGCCCUUACGUCCCGGGCUACACACGUGCUACAAUGGUCGGUACAAAGGGUUGCCAACCCGCGAGGGGGAGCUAAUCCCAAAAAGCCGAUCUCAGUUCGGAUUGCAGUCUGCAACUCGACUGCAUGAAGGCGGAAUCGCUAGUAAUCGCAGAUCAGAACGCUGCGGUGAAUACGUUCCCGGGCCUUGUACACACCGCCCGUCACAUCACGAAAGUGGGUUGUACUAGAAAUCGCUGAGCUAACCCGCAAGGGGGGCAGGCGCUUAAGGUAUGAUCCAUGAUUGGGGUGAAGUCGUAACAAGGUAACCAGACCUGUCUGCAGC